CGUACACUCCUGCGGGAGGCAGCAGUGGGGAAUAUUGCACAAUGGGCGCAAGCCUGAUGCAGCCAUGCCGCGUGUAUGAAGAAGGCCUUCGGGUUGUAAAGUACUUUCAGCGGGGAGGAAGGCGAUAAGGUUAAUAACCUUGUCGAUUGACGUUACCCGCAGAAGAAGCACCGGCUAACUCCGUGCCAGCAGCCGCGGUAAUACGGAGGGUGCAAGCGUUAAUCGGAAUUACUGGGCGUAAAGCGCACGCAGGCGGUCUGUCAAGUCGGAUGUGAAAUCCCCGGGCUCAACCUGGGAACUGCAUUCGAAACUGGCAGGCUAGAGUCUUGUAGAGGGGGGUAGAAUUCCAGGUGUAGCGGUGAAAUGCGUAGAGAUCUGGAGGAAUACCGGUGGCGAAGGCGGCCCCCUGGACAAAGACUGACGCUCAGGUGCGAAAGCGUGGGGAGCAAACAGGUUUAGAUACCCCUGUAGUCCCAGGA
rnacentral:rRNA from 1 species